UAAUAUCGGUGUGAAUUGGUCCAUAAAUCCUCCUGGUCGUCCUUCUGUGGAUAUGCUUUAUGAAUCUGGUGUCCAUUGAUAGUCCGACUUUGGAUUAAGUGUCCGAUUCCACAUUUAUUUUGAUUAAUGAGUUUUUGGAUGACUUUGAUAUGUUUACUAUUUGUAUUAUUUGGCACUGGUGAGAAUUGUUCCAUAAAUCUUCCUGAUUGUUCUUCUCUGGAUAUGCUAUUACGAAUCUGGUGUCCAUUGUUAGUUCAAAUAUGGAUUAAGUGUUCGAUUCUUCACUUAUUGUAGUUAUUGAUUUCUUUGGUCUUACUUCAGUAUAUUUAUUUGCGUUAUUGUACGAACAGGCUCACACCUUUGCCUGGUUGUUCGUCCUUGGAUAUACAUUUUAUAAAUCUGAUGUCCCUGGAUAGUUCAAUUUUGGAUUUCGGGCCCAUUCGACAUUUAUUUGUUAUUAUGAACUUUAGUAAAUUAUUUAGUUUAUCUUUGGCUUUAGACAAUGCCGAGGAUAUUUUAAUAUGACUUCGAGUCAUCUGUUGUAAGUCAUGAUAUCUGUUGCAGGGACUCUCCUGCUUUCCUCUAUUCCUUGGUUUGUGGUUAUUUUGUAAUCUGGCGAAUCAACGCGAAAUAAUACACUACUACUACUUUAGUUUAAUAUUUAGAGUAUAAAUAAAAAAAAAUUUUAAUAAAUUUUUUUUUCUCCCAGUAGGAGAGGAAUGUGACGUUCCAUCACUUAUCUAAGUAAUUAUUAAUGGGAACACCUUAUUUAAUUAUGGUUAAAAUUAUUUUUCUCGUAAUUAAAACAAGCCGUUCGCACAAAAUCCUCUGGAUGACGUCAUACCUAGGUGCUGUGGCAUCACUGAUAGAUUUUUGAAGUUGGCAUUGACGCCGGUCGCCAGCUGUCAUCAAGUCGAACGGAGCAAGGAGGGAGAUUGUUCUCUGCGAAGUGCCAAGAAGGGCGGUGUAAUCUCUUACAAUAAGUGAUUGAGAAAAUUAUAUUUUAGCCGCAUGGUUCAAUUAUUACUGUAUUGCCAGUUAUUUUAUUAAGUUUGUGUUUGAAUCAAAGUGACGAAAUAUAAUGAAACUGUAAGAAGAAGGAUUUUGCACCGCCCUUCGGGAGAAAUCUCAAACGACGUAUGAACUUAUAAAGACCCAACAACACCACGGGUAGGCACUUCCAGGGUUCAAUCGACAAGGGACAGGUCUGGAGGAUAUACAGCCUCCCAUUUGAUCUUGUUUAUUUUGGUUCUUCUUCCUGCAACCCUCAGAGGGGCAGUUUCAGUAACGGUUGGACCGUUACACCACAUUGGUGUUAGCUUCGUACCACGGACUUGGGUAUUAGACAUCAAGGAACAUUGGAACCUGUGAAAAGGGGUUUGUUUUGGGGACAUUUAUUUGUAACGGUUAAAGACAUACUGUUUUUUUAAUUUUUCAGGACAUUUAGCAUACUUAUACUUUCAUAAUUUAAUUAUAUAUAUUUUUUCUUUCCUCCAAAAACAUAAGUAUACUGUAAUUUAUCAGAGCCAUACCUUAAGUUGAUAGUGUUCCCCAAAUUUACAUAAUUCCUUGGUAGAAGUUUCGAGCUCGAAUAUUCUUCCCACAUAUAUGUUCUUUACCCUUGGUUUGUAUUAAUUUUAGACUUGUUCCCAUGUAAAUUAAAUAUAUAAUUGUCUUAAUUCUCUAACUUUAAAAUCAUUUAACUUGCUUUCAUACUUUAUCAAUUUUUAUUAGUUUUUUGCAAAUAUUAUUUAACGUUAACGUAUCAAUCAUUUCCUUUUUAUAUUAACUUUGAAUCAAUCCCUAGUACCUAGCCCCUCAGGACGGUACUAGUUUUACUUGUUAUUAUUAUUAAGAACCACUAGUCAUAAAAGGGUUUUUGUAUCCAGUACUACGUUGGUUCAUUUAGGGACUUGUUACCCGUCAACUCAUUGAGAGUUAUAUAAAAAUAUUAUUUAUAUUAGGUAUUUUUAUUAUUAUAUUAUCAGGUAGUAUUCAAUUAGGCUGUACGUAUUUUAUUCGUACUAUUAUUUGGUGAAGGGUUGUCAUUUAACCUAGAUGUAAGUUGAGGGUAUGCUUCCUAGGAAAGCUACUCCAAUAAUAAUUUAAUAGGUAAUUAUAUUUAUAUCACAAUAGGUAAUUAUUUCUCAUUGUCAUUUUAGAGUUACAUAGUUACACUUGUCAUAACUUAGAGGUUGUCAAUAAUCUAGAUAGUUAUAUAUAAUAAAUAUUUAUUUGUUUUGUA
rnacentral:lncRNA from 1 species